rnacentral:rRNA from 1 species
UUGGAGGGCAAGUCUGGUGCCAGCAGCCGCGGUAAUUCCAGCUCCAAUAGCGUAUAUUAAAGUUGUUGCAGUUAAAAAGCUCGCAGUUGAAUUUCGGGAUCAAUAUUUCGGUCAUGCCGUUGGUAUGCACUGUUAUCAUUGAUUUCUCACCUUCUAAAGAACCGUAAUGCCAUUAAUUUGGUGUUACGGGGAAUUAGGACUGUUACCUUGAAAAAAUUAGAGUGUUUAAAGCAGGC